AAGUCCUUUAAUACAGUCCAGAGAGGCUGAAAAGGUACGUGAUGAUACUUGAACAUGGAGAAAUACUGUAUUUUUCUAUGAUGAUUGCGAUCUGAAUCCUUUUGCCUCUGGCAAAAGGAUUUUUUAUU
rfam:Bacillus sp. FJAT-27916 Scaffold1, whole genome shotgun sequence.